UGGCGUGUGGUACUGUCCGUUCUCGAGAACGGUAAGGUGUUGACAGUCGCAGCAGGGUAUAGCCGGAGUAGUCUUGAUGUUGUCCUUUGACUGUCAAGGGCCAGCUAUCGAAGCGUGGCACGGUGGUGUUGUAAUGUACGGCCACGCAGAUGGGCGUAGGCGCGCACAUAGGUCGGUUGUUGGCGAGGCCGAGCUCGUUGAGAGGUCGCAUCAUGCGUUUGACGAGGUCGGCUUGAUGGGUGCUAGGGGUAGCUCGGCUCUCUGAAUUUCGAGGUAUGCUCGAUGGAACGCCCUGAGCUCAAGAGUCGGGAUGUACUAUUGAAGCAGGCGCCUCGAGCUUGGUCGGGGCGGAUCGGCGAACAUUGGAGGCACCUCGAACUUGGUCGGAAGAGUCGGCGAACAUCUGAAGCCGAGCUGGUUUCGGGCUGGACUGAGGAUUCGACCGGACGGUGUUGGCGUUUAUUGGGCCAGAAGUGGACGACCUUUUAGCUGUGGUUUGGACGAUCUACUUCGCCCCCAUCAAUAUAUAUAUUAUUUUAUUAAGUUGAUAUAUCAACAACAAGUCUACAAAUAUAUUAAAUAUAAACAAAUAACAUACGAAAAAUCAAAAAAUUCGGGCAGGCCAGGCUUUAAUUGGUUUGUUUACUAAAAGGGCUUGCCGCUCGGCCGUGAACAGCUGUAUCUCGGUCUAAUCGUCGAUCUGAUGUUUAACAUCUUUGCCACCGCCUCCUCCACCUCGAACAUCUCCCCAUCCCAC
rnacentral:lncRNA from 1 species